AGAUCCUGCUGGGGGUGCCCGUCGCACGGGCUGAGACAGUCCCUUGGAACCUGAUCCGGAUGAUACCGGCGGAGGGAAGCAUGGACGGGGCAAA
rnacentral:ncRNA from 2 species